UACGUAGGGGGCAAGCGUUGUCCGGAAUCAUUGGGCGUAAAGCGCGCGUAGGCGGCCCGGUAAGUCCGCUGUAAAAGUCCAGGGCUCAACCCUGGAAAGCCGGUGGAUACUGUCGGGCUAGAGUCCGGAAGAGGCGAGUGGAAUUCCUGGUGUAGCGGUGGAAUGCGCAGAUAUCAGGAAGAACACCCGUGGCGAAGGCGGUUCUCUGGGACGGUACUGACGCUGAGACGCGAAAGCGUGGGGAGCGAACAGG
rnacentral:rRNA from 1 species